AUCUGGAGGAAUCUGGAGACAGGUGCUGCAUGGCUGUCGUCAGCUCGUGUCGUGAGAUGUUGGGUUAAGUCCCGCAACGAGCGCAACCCUUGCCUUUAGUUGCCAGCAGUUCGGCUGGGCACUCUAAAGGGACUGCCGGUGUUAAACCGGAGGAAGGUGGGGAUGACGUCAAGUCCUCAUGGCCUUUAUGACCAGGGCUACACACGUACUACAAUGGCCGAUACAAAGGGCAGCGACACUGCGAGGUGAAGCCAAUCCCGUAAAAUCGGUCUCAGUCCGGAUUGGAGUCUGCAACUCGACUCCAUGAAGUUGGAAUCGCUAGUAAUCGUGGAUCAGCAUGCCACGGUGAAUACGUUCCCGGGCCUU
rnacentral:rRNA from 1 species